ensembl:lncRNA
CACACAGAUAUAAGUAUAUUUGUUGCUAGCUAAGCAAUAACGUGCCUGUGUGAAGUUGAAAUUAAAAAUACUUACUGUUGUUUAUGCACAUGCACACAAACGACGCACACAUUCUUAAAGUUGUCAACGUUUUAAGUGUUGGUAAAGACCAAAUAUAUUUUUUUUUACUUACCGACACGGCAAACAUCUUCUUUUUUAGCGGUUGAAAAAACAAUACAAAUUAUCUUCUUAUCGAUGCUUCUUCUUCCUGUUUCAAAAUGAUUGAGAAUGUGACGUAUUUUGACAUGGGCGUGGUCUGUGACGUCACACUUGGAUGUGGGCCGGGUUGGAUGUCCACCGCAGGCUGCCAAGCGUGUACGUCUGCAGACUGCAAGAAAGGGGCGUAACUUGAAAGAGGCGUAACUUGAAGUAGGAGGCGUAACUUGAAGUUGUCGAAAUCUCACAGAAUCACGCGAGAUGUCAAAAUGAUAAGUUGUUGGCAAUAUGGCUGCUUUCAAUAGGGCACAGAGUAGAAUAUUGAUUACGUUUUUUAAGGGAAGCAGGGGUUUUAGGCAGGAUUUGAUGCAUAAGGUGUGUGUAGAUAUUAAUGCUAGGGGACAAUGUGAGUGAUGUGUACGUUUAGUAGGAAAACCUAUUAUCUGAUCCACACUCCGGGACAGAAGAGGGCGGUAUUGCACCAAUAAGCUGGAUGCCAACCGCCGUUAAACUGGAAAGCAGUUACAAUGAGUUACAAUGGUGAGAAUAUAUUUUUUCACGAAAUAAUUAGUUAAAUUUAAGAGUACAAGUUAUUUUCAUACAGUGGUAUUGAUUUUGGAGUUAAUAAUCUAUUAAAACUAAGGUGUAAAGUCAGCAACAUAUAAGCAAAAGGUGUAAAGACGCUAUCCUCCGGUUUCACAGACAAGAUUAAUUGAGCUAUGGCCUGAUCCUGGCUUAAUCUAAACCCUGUUUGUUACUUACAUAAUAUAGCAUAUUUGUGAUUGUGCUGUAAAAACACGUUUUAUAAUGAAUAACUAACAGGGGAGCUCAAUUAAGUACACGACUCAAAAGUGGAUUUACAUAAACCAUAUAUACAUCUUGAAGACUAUUACUAAUUGUCUAUUUAUCAUCUGACAGGAUCAUCUUUGAUAAGUAUUGCAGAUGAGCACAUUUAACAGACAUGAAACAGGCAUCUGAGUGAUGUGUGUGUGCUAUUAUUCACUCACAACACUGCUUGAGAUGAGUGUAAGUCAUGUAAACAAACAAAUCUACAUACAGUAACUAAACACAAGUUAUCUAUUUUAUUUGUCCAUUUGCAAUAUUGAUAAUUUUAGGAACAUUUGUGUUGGAUAAAAAGCGAGUUACAUCAGUUACUAACUCAACAUGCAGAUGCAGUAUAUCACAGAUAAAUCACAGAGGUUACUUGACUCUUGUCUGGAUGUUACAGGAACAGAUUAUGUUUAUCUGCUGUAGAGUGACUGAAGAAGGAAUGCUGCCAUCAAAGGAUUUGUGUUAUGAAAAUGUCUGCAGACUGGUGUGUGCACUGAGGAUGGAGAAGUCCACUGCAGCAUCCGGAAAUGGUCCAGAGACACGGAUGAGACGCUCCAUCACUCCAGCUCUUACUGUCUCAUCAGGACCAGAUGCUGCUGUGGUCUCUUCAUCAUCAGUGGCCCCAGAGCAGUGAGAGCAUCUAGAGAAAGACCAAAAGACACUGAGGAUUUGAUUUUGGUAAAGUUUGUUCUGCUGGUUUCUGUUUAUACGACGAAGGCUGACUUUCAGAAGCUUCAAAAGCAUCAUCAAAAAAUGUGAUGGAGCUUUUAUCUGAAGUGAUUGACAGUGCUCUUAUUACAGGGGCCUACAAUCCUCUGAUCAACCUGGAGAAAAGAGCUGUGCUCAAGGACAGUUUUGAACCAGUUCAGUGGUUUAGCACACUACAAAAGUAAUAAAUCAAUGCAUGUACUUGUAAACUCUGUGUAAAUGUUUUACAGGUAGUGGUGCUCAUGGAGAGCAGCACACGAUUGUUUGGAGCAGACACAGCAGCAAUCAGAUUGUCCUGCACGUGUUCUUCUGCUCUCGCUUCAAGGUAGUGUGGUUCAGAGAGCCGUCAUCAAGGUCUUCCUCAUCCUGUUGCUCAACGACAUCCCCGUUGAGAAGAGCGAGACUGAGAAGCACAGCGCAGCAGCAGAACUGUCUCAGCUGUGUUGAGAUGAUAGUAAGAUGUGGGGUUCACCGUCUGUAAAUACAUGAUUGUUAGAACAGUUAGUUUGAAAGAAGCUUUGUUUCAUGUGUUGUUGACUUGUACAUGUAUGCAUUUAUUGUGAUGCUAACAUUUAUACAUUCUUUUAAUCAUUUAGACAUGUUUCUUAUUGUCAGUAAAUAAAAUAUAAAUAUUUGAUCUAUUCAUGUAUUAAUUGCUUGACUGAAAACUGUUGUAUUCACAUC